rnacentral:rRNA from 1 species
UACGUAGGUGGCAAGCGUUGUCCGGAAUUAUUGGGCGUAAAGCGCGCGCAGGCGGUUCCUUUAGUCUGAUGUGAAAGCCCACGGCUCAACCGUGGAGGGUCAUUGGAAACUGGGGGACUUGAGUGCAGAAGAGGAGGGCGGAAUUCCAAGUGUAGAGGUGAAAUGCGUAGAGAUGUGGAGGAACACCAGUGGCGAAGGCGGCUAUCUGGUCCGUAACUGACGCUGAGGCGCGAAAGCGUGGGGAGCAAACAGG